UACGUAGGGGGCUAGCGUUGUCCGGAAUCAUUGGGCGUAAAGCGCGCGUAGGCGGUCAGGUAAGUCCGGUGUGAAAGUCAAAGGCUCAACCUUUGAAUGCCGCUGGAUACUGCUCGGCUAGAGUGCGGAAGGGGCAACUGGAAUUCUUGGUGUAGCGGUGAAAUGCGUAGAUAUCAAGAGGAACACCUGCGGCGAAGGCGGGUUGCUGGGCCGACACUGACGCUGAAGUGCGAAAGCUAGGGGAGCGAACGGG
rnacentral:rRNA from 1 species